GACGAACGCUGGCGGCGUGCUUAACACAUGCAAGUCGAACGGUAAGGCCCUUCGGGGUACACGAGUGGCGAACGGGUGAGUAACACGUGGGUGAUCUGCCCUGCACUUCGGGAUAAGCCUGGGCAACUGGGCCUAAUCCGGGAGAGGCCCCCGGCUGCCAGGGGCGCUGGGGGAAAGCUUUUGCGGUGUGGGAUGGGCCCGCGGCCUAUCAGCUUGUUGGUGGGGUGAUGGCCUACCAAGGCGACGACGGGUAGCCGGCCUGAGAGGGCGACCGGCCACACUGGGACUGAGAUACGGCCCAGACUCCUACGGGAGGCAGCAGUGGGGAAUAUUGCACAAUGGGCGCAAGCCUGAUGCAGCGACGCCGCGUGAGGGAUGACGGCCUUCGGGUUGUAAACCUCUUUCAGCACCGACGAAGCGCAAGUGACGGUAGGUGCAGAAGAAGGACCGGCCAACUACGUGCCAGCAGCCGCGGUAA
rnacentral:rRNA from 1 species